UGGGGAAUUUUGGACAAUGGGCGAAAGCCUGAUCCAGCAAUGCCGCGUGUGUGAAGAAGGCCUUCGGGUUGUAAAGCACUUUUGUCCGGAAAGAAAAUCCUUGGCUCUAAUACAGUCGGGGGAUGACGGUACCGGAAGAAUAAGCACCGGCUAACUACGUGCCAGCAGCCGCGGUAAUACGUAGGGUGCAAGCGUUAAUCGGAAUUACUGGGCGUAAAGCGUGCGCAGGCGGUUUGCUAAGACCGAUGUGAAAUCCCCGGGCUCAACCUGGGAACUGCAUUGGUGACUGGCAGGCUAGAGUAUGGCAGAGGGGGGUAGAAUUCCACGUGUAGCAGUGAAAUGCGUAGAGAUGUGGAGGAAUACCGAUGGCGAAGGCAGCCCCCUGGGCCAAUACUGACGCUCAUGCACGAAAGCGUGGGGAGCAAACAGGAUUAGAUACCCUGGUAGUCCACGCCCUAAACGAUGUCAACUAGUUGUUGGGGAUUCAUUUCCUUAGUAACGUAGCUAACGCGUGAAGUUGACCGCCUGGGGAGUACGGUCGCAAGAUUAAAACUCAAAGGAAUUGACGGGGUCAUAGCUGUUUCCU
rnacentral:rRNA from 1 species